CCUACGGGCGGCAGCAGUGAGGAAUAUUGGUCAAUGGCCGGAAGGCUGAACCAGCCAAGCCGCGUGAAGGACGAAGGUGCCACGCAUUGUAAACUUCUUUUGUCAAGGGACAAAAUCAGGCUCGAGAGCCUGACCGAGUGUACUUGAAGAAAAAGCAUCGGCUAACUCCGUGCCAGCAGCCGCGGUAAUACGGAGGAUUCGAGCGUUAUCCGGAUUUAUUGGGUUUAAAGGGUGCGUAGGCGGGGUGUUAAGUCAGCCGUGAAAGCCCGGGGCUUAACCCCGGGAGUGCCGUUGAAACUGGCUGUCUUGAGAUGUCGAGAGGUAUGCGGAAUGCGCAGUGUAGCGGUGAAAUGCUUAGAUAUUACGAAGAACUCCGAUUGCGAAGGCAGCAUACCGGCGGCGAUCUGACGCUGAGGCACGAAAGCGUGGGUAUCGAACAGGAUUAGAUACCCGGGUAGUC
rnacentral:rRNA from 1 species